rnacentral:rRNA from 1 species
CCUACGGGAGGCUGCAGUGGGGAAUAUUGCACAAUGGGGGAAACCCUGAUGCAGCGACGCCGCGUGAGUGAAGAAGGAUUUCGGGAUGUAAAGCUCUAUCAGCAGGGAAGAAAAAGACGGUACCUGAGUAAGAAGCCCCGGCUAACUACGUGCCAGCAGCCGCGGUAAUACGUAGGGGGCAAGCGUUAUCCGGAUUUACUGGGUGUAAAGGGAGCGUAGACGGCAGCACAAGUCUGGAGUGAAAUGCCGGGGCUUAACCCCGGAACUGCGUGGGAAACUGUGCAGCUAGAGUGCAGGAGAGGUCAGUGGCAUUCCUAUUGUAGCGGUGCCAUGCGUAGCUAUUAGGCGG